AACUAACGCUGGCGGCGUGCCUAACACAUGCAAGUCGUACGAGAAAGUUGGCUUCGGCCGAUGAGUAAAGUGGCGCACGGGUGAGUAAUGCGUGGAUAAUCUGCCCUUUAGUUGGGAAUAACGUACCGAAAGGUGCGCUAAUACCUGAUAAUACUGCAUAACUACUGUUGUGUAGUCAAAGAAGGCCUCUGUUUACAAGCUUUUGCUGAAGGAUGAGUCCGCGUACCAUUAGCUGGUUGGUGGGGUAAUGGCCUACCAAGGUUAUGAUGGUUAGCUGGUCUGAGAGGAUGAUCAGCCACACUGGAACUGAAACACGGUCCAGACUCCUACGGGAGGCAGCAGUGAGGAAUAUUGCGCAAUGGGGGCAACCCUGACGCAGCAACGCCGCGUGAGUGAGGAAGGUUUUCGGAUUGUAAAGCUCUGUCGAGCGGAAAGAAAUGCACGAUGGCUAAUAUCCAUCAUGCUUGACGGUACCGCUAGAGG
rnacentral:rRNA from 1 species